AAGCAAUGCCAGGACAAUGCCAUACAGACAUUUUCUUCAAUAUUCCGAUUUCCUGUCAAGAAUCUUCUUAUUGGAACAUGUGUUUUCUGUGGACUCUGUAUCGUGCUUGCAAUUGGAAGAUGUAUAUUUAUUAAACGGCGAAAGGUCAGCGCAAUCAUCACAAAUGAAAUUGUUCAAAAUCAC